AUUGAACGCUGGCGGUAUGCUUAACACAUGCAAGUCGAACGGUAGCAUGACUUAGCUUGCUAAGUUGAUGACGAGUGGCGAACGGGUGAGUAACGCGUAGGAAUAUGCCUUAAAGUGGGGGACAACUUGGGGAAACUCAAGCUAAUACCGCAUAAUUUCCUUGGAAAAAAGCUGGGGACCUUCGGGCCUGGCGCUUUAAGAUUAGCCUGCGUACGAUUAGCGAGUUGGUAGGGUAAAGGCCUACCAAGGCGACGAUCGUUAGCUGGUCUGAGAGGAUGGCCAGCCACACUGGAAAUGAGACGCGGUCCAGACACCUACGGGAGGCAGCAGGGGGGAAUAGUGGACAAUGGGGGCAACCCUGAUGCAGCAAUACCGCGUGUGUGAAGAAGGCAUGAGGGUUGUAAAGCACUUUCAGUGGGGAGGAGAGUAUUUAGGUUAAGAGCUAGAAUACUGGACGUUACCCACAGAAGAAGCACCGGCUAACUCCGUGCCAGCAGCCGCGGUAA
rnacentral:rRNA from 1 species